UACGAAGGGGGCUAGCGUUGUUCGGAAUUACUGGGCGUAAAGCGCACGUAGGCGGACUAUUAAGUCAGUGGUGAAAUCCCGGGGCUCAACCCCGGAACUGCCUUUGAUACUGGUAGUCUCGAGUCCGGAAGAGGUGAGUGGAAUUCCGAGUGUAGAGGUGAAAUUCGUAGAUAUUCGGAGGAACACCAGUGGCGAAGGCGGCUCGCUGGUCCGGUACUGACGCUGAGGUGCGAAAGCGUGGGGAGCAAACAGG
rnacentral:rRNA from 1 species